GGACAUUGACCAGAACAGACUAUAUAUUUAUAUUGAGAAGUAAUUUUAAUUUUGGACCAGACCUUGCUCUUUUUCUGAAUCAGUCAAUGUCAAUAUAAUCUCACCACGCAAUCGGUGUACGUAUUAUGAGCCUGUUCCCAUAGAAUGGUGAGAAAGUGUUUUCGAAUUUUUUUUUAAUCUGAUUAAUAUAUUUUAUGACUUAUUUUGGAGAAAUGUAAUUCAUGUAUAUUAUAAGAAUUACCUCCCGCUAAAUGUUUAAAGUACAAUUAUAGUAAGAUAAUGUAAAAAUAUUAUCUUGAUGGAAAUACAUAUAUAUUGUACUAAUGUUAUAUUUUGAUAUAAAUUAUAUUAUUGUUUUAUGAUAUUUCAGGGCUUAAAUAUACAUUGCAAAUUUUAAAGUCACUGUGUCCGGAUACAAAUAAAACGAACCAUACAGAUA